UAAAUUCAAGAGCAAAUUUUCAAUCCGACCUAAGUAACAAAAUAAACAAAAAUGAGAUUUUUGCAUAUAAUGAUACCUAACGGACUGCUUAACACUGUUAUGCAAGGACAAAAGUUAAAAGUAGUCAAAAACCUUAGAAAUUUCAAAAAUCAAAUUGACUCAAGUAACAUACUGAGCACUUUUCGUAUGUGUCGCUUUGUCGGUACAAUGACUUAUGUAACGCGCAUAACUCUCAAGCGACGUAACAGUGCCGUCAAAACGACCUAACAACCAAAAUGUUGUCAACAUAAAUCAUAAUUGUUUACGUCAAAACUAAAACUGACCUUAAUUAAAUCACCUGUACAAUCCCCAGCGGGUUACCUUCUAUAAGAGACUCGUUCGAUCUUUUCCAGGACUCGCUUGAUGAAUCGCACCAGAAAGGAGACCGUUCGAUGGCAGAUCCGGAUGAUGGUGUACCGAAUAUGCAAAUAUAUCUACUCGGUGUACCGAUAUCUAAACAUUGCCAAGCCUCUGUACCCGGAACACUUUGGUAAGCUUGAGUGCCUCGAACCGACCACCAGUCCUCGAUUCACAGGGGCGAUGUUGCUGACCACAAACUUUUUGAUGAAUUCGAGGUGGGUCUGGCACUGAAAGCCUUGUGUCGCCAGAGAUGGCCCGUUGCUUGUCCGGCGAAGUGAAAUCCCAUAGAAAUCUUUCUGGUAGCGAACCGAUCACAGCUGUGCAGGAAGAAACACGGUAUCAAUCGCUGGCGUUAUUAUUAAGGGAACGUGAGAGAAGAACCGGGAGGUGCAGGUGAAAAUCCUCCGAUUAUUUAAAAAACUCAAACCCAACGACCAGGACGCUAAUGCCAUCAGAGACGUCCAAAAACCUCGAGAACUAUAUUCAGUAUGGGUGCUUACGAACAGUAUCAGAACCAUACAGUGACCACGAACUCUGUACUAUCUUGGAAUAUCUCAAUUUCUGGACAUAAGGAUACGAUGUCGGGGAUCUCGUUCAUCCUGAUCGAUUUCCAGCACACAUUGGUGAAGUUCAUGAAGUUAUUGUUUGUUCUGAAAACACUGAAAAAAUAAACCGAUUCCAUUGCCUUCCAGAAGCUCAACUGCGUCAGUCAAAUUUGAGAUAAAAUGUUUGUUUUUUUUUUUUAAAUAAUUAUCAAUAAAGGAAAUAUUUACCACAGUAUGCAUCUAUGAAAGGGGGUUCGCUGGACACUUAGCUAUCCGAAAUAUACCUAGGAUACCACCAGGCUCGCCACCAGGGUAAUUAUAUAUAAUUCAUCUCAUCACCUUUUAAAUUAAUCAUUUAAUGUAUCAAUGAGGUAGUGAUAAAGUUUGAGUUUUUAUUUUUUGUUAUGAUAUCUGAUUUUAUAUUGUUCAAUGCUAUGAGUCAGGCCCGGAUUAAGGAUUGUGGGGGCCCGGGGCCCGAGCGGAUGUGGAGGCCCUUCUGAGAGAUGACCAAAAAUGUUUUUCCUUAUUUUCGAACAGUACUUGAGUAAUAUGAAAAAUUAAGCUAAUGUUAGCAAGCAAAAAAGGUUUUUGUGGGGGGCCCCAAAAAUCUGGGGGCCCAGGCCCCCUCGGCCCCCCCUUAGAUCCGGCCCUGUGAGUUUGUCAGUGACUAAUUUUUGCAGAUAUAUUUUUAUUCAUCAGCAACGCUAUGAUUACGGCCAAGAUACCUUUAAGUCGCAAAUGGAGAAACCGAGGGAGAAACAAUGUGUACCAUGUUCUUUUGUGGGCUUCGUGACUGUGAGGUUAGCGGCGUCAGUAGUCUAGCCGUUUCGAAAGCCUAAGAGUGUGGAUUCGAUUCCCGCUUUAGUCGGGGAAACCUUUCGUCCAACGAAAAAUUCUCCCCUGGACCAAUGAAUGUUUUCUGUGUUGUCAGUUGUCUCAUGUUAGUGAUCGUUCAAUAUGUGCAACCUCUGAUUGAAGACGGUGCAGUUUUUGUUUUCCAUAAGAAAGAAUCAAGUCUGGCGUUCGCUGUUCAAAUCGAUGCCAGAAGUUUCUAAGAUAACUAAACAAAAACUGUAUCAAAAUCGGUACUUUUUUGCCUCUUAAUGGCAAUGGAGUAAUGCGUCAUGCACUACACUAAGGAUAUGGGUAAUGCAAGGGGUAAUGUAAGAAUAGAUCUAAAAAUUGGUUGCAGUGAUAUACCCAAACAGGAAUAAAUAAUGGGCUGUAGAAAAAAAACUGCAUAAAAAAAUCGCCCCGCACCAAAUAUACUAUGCUCAAAACGCUUAUAAGACCAGUAUUUCUCUAUGGAUACAAGAUAUAGACAUAUAGAUAUAGAUAUGAUCGAGGAUCUGCAAGCACCCGGAAUAUUCGAGCCACGCGUGUUAAGGAUGAUCUUCGGUGGUGUGCAGCGGAAAAUAAACCACGAGCUCGCUGCACUCUACGGCGAACCCAGCAUCCAGAAGGUUAUCAAGGUCGGAAGGAUACGGUGGGCAGGGCAUGUAGCAAGAAUGCCGGUAAACAACCCUGCUAAGCUGGUG